rnacentral:tRNA from 1 species
AAUGUUAUGUCUGAUUAAAGUAAUAAAUUGUAAAUUUAUUUAAGAAAAAAAAUUUUUCUAACAUUA